GACGGGCAAAUUAGGAGUAUUAUUUGUAAAUGGUUAAUUUGCAUCUGAAUAUUCAUUGAUGUUAACACCUUGGAGAUCUGAUGCCCUGA